rnacentral:rRNA from 1 species
GACGAACGCUGGCGGCGUGCUUAACACAUGCAAGUCGAACGGUAAGGCCCUUCGGGGUACACGAGUGGCGAACGGGUGAGUAACACGUGGGUGAUCUGCCCUGCACUUCGGGAUAAGCCUGGGAAACUGGGUCUAAUACCGGAUAGGACCACUGCCUGCAUGGGUGGAGGUGGAAAGCUUUUGCGGUGUGGGAUGGGCCCGCGGCCUAUCAGCUUGUUGGUGGGGUGAUGGCCUACCAAGGCGACGACGGGUAGCCGGCCUGAGAGAGUGACCGGCCACACUGGGACUGAGAUACGGCCCAGACUCCUACGGGAGGCAGCAGUGGGGAAUAUUGCACAAUGGGCGCAAGCCUGAUGCAGCGACGCCGCGUGAGGGAUGACGGCCUUCGGGUUGUAAACCUCUUUCAGCACCGACGAAGCGCAAGUGACGGUAGGUGCAGAAGAAGGACCGGCCAACUACGUGCCAGCCGCCGCGGUAA